CACACAACAGGUCUGGCCCUCAUUUGGGUUCUCUGAGUGACCACCAAUAAUAAUUUUUUUUUUGGGUGGAGGAGGCAAAUCCCAUAAUUUGGAACAUGAGUCCAGAAUCCUGCUCUCCAAAGUGGAGGGUGUCCUCUACACGUGGAGAAGGUGGUGCCAGAGCCCCUUUUUGGGGAGAUACACAUGGAAAGAGGAGUGCCUUCAUUCCCCCUUGUGCAGAGCACCAAGUCUCCCCUUGAAUGGAAUUUUUUGGAAGUUACAAGCCUUUGAAAAUCUCUUCCUCCAAUUUUGAUACAACAGUGUACCUACUUUAACAUAUCCAGAACAGGAAACGUGGACUGUAGUUUGCCUCAUUUUGGAUUCAGGUUGCUGUUAUCCCACUAUUUCAUUGUGAUCCCUGUGUGUGACUGUCAAAGAAUGCCAGAAUGUUGGCAUAUAUAUCAAGUGUGCAUCUGGUUUUAUAUUUUAUAAGACCUAUGCUAUCCCUUUGAAGAUA